rnacentral:lncRNA from 1 species
CGCAAUAGUACUCCAAUUUACCGCGCAGAGUUUGAUUCAUUGCGCACUAUAAUUGUGUUAUGUUUACGUUGCAAGAUUUACAAGAAAGUAAGUGGUAGACACUGAUAAAACUUGCAGAAUUUUAUAACAAGUCAUAAAAGAGGAAGUCAAGAGUUCACUGGAAAAAAAGAACGCGAUCGAUCAGUGAAAAAAUCUUUGUUCGCACGGUGGCGCUGUGAGUACGAGAACAGAGUCCAACAGUGGAUCGUGCUGAUUACGUACGGACACUUUUUCUUCGGGAAUUACCGCGGGAAGGGGUUAUCCCGAAGUGUGCCAUCGAAUCUACAUAACUGGAGCAGAAUUGUAAGUUUAAACGGAUACAAAUAAAGAAUUAAGCAGCGAUGCCUUUAUUUAUUCUGGGUAAUCGAGCACGGACGAUUUCCUAAUUCCGCGUUUACGGGGGAAACAGUUGCCUAAUCCUAAAAUCAUCCUCUCCAGUCGUAACGAGCAGGUAAUUCGUGUUCUCCUCGCUAAAACAGAUUACACGGCGACGGUUUUCAAUGAUAAUUUAAGCAUCGUGGAGCGUGGUAAUUGCUUUUUAUCUCCAAACGAUAAAACAGCCGUUACACAAAAAAUGGCAAAACUAAUUGCGGCGUGGUUUCGCGAAAACGUUCAAAUUGAAAACACUUUUUGUUCAUUUUCAUUUAUUGAUUUCCCUCAGACGCGACAGUUCAUUACGAUAAAAAAACUAAUUCUAUAAAUUGAAUAUUUUCGAAGGCGGUUCAGGCGUUUGGACAAUGUACAUUUUUGGUGACGUUUAAUGGUCUUAAUUAUCUUUUAAUGGUAUGCUAGGUAAUUUAUGUAUCGGGUUAAACGUCCAUGCAAACUUGUCAUUCCCUUGUAAUUUACCUUAACUGCAAAGUCUCUUUCAGAACACCUCUCUUUCUACUCACAUUACGUUCAGACCUUCGCCAUUUCUGACAUGUCUUCAACCAAAUUUCAGUACUUUUAAAAACUUCUAUGAUUUUCACUUGUUUGCUCAGUACAAUUUAUCUCCUUAUAUAACCUCUUCGGUGACUUUCUUCAAACUUAGAAAUAAUUUAAUUUUUCUUACGAAGUCAGCUUUUAAAUUCUCAAGAUUAACGUUCUUAAAUCCAUCUGAAUGUUAUGCAAGGGAAAUAUAUGUCCACGUACGUGUUCACUAUUCAAAAAAAGACUAAACAUGUACGACAUAAAAGUACAUCAGUAAAAGUGAUAUUUUACAAAAUACAUAAGAGCUAAAGCGCAGAGUGUUUCCGAUUAUGAUACCCAGGGCAAGUUUGCCACUUACAUUA